CCUACGGGUGGCAGCAGUGAGGAAUAUUGGUCAAUGGUCGGGAGACUGAACCAGCCAAGCCGCGUGAGGGAUGAAGGUACAGAGUAUCGUAAACCUCUUUUGUCAGGGAACAAAGGCGGGGACGUGUCCACGGAUGAGUGUACCUGAAGAAAAAGCAUCGGCUAACUCCGUGCCAGCAGCCUCGGUAAUACGGAGGAUGCGAGCGUUAUCCGUAUGUAUUGGGGUGAAAGGGUGCGCAGGCGGUCUGUUAAGUCAGAGGUCAAAGCCCGGGACGCCACCCCGGCCCGCCGUUGAAACUGGCAGUCUCGAGUUGGAGAGAAUUAUGCGGAAUGCGCGGUGUAGCGGUGACAUGCAUAGAUAUCGCGCAGAACUCCGAUUGCGAAGGCAGCAUGCCGGCUCCACACUGACGCUGAGGCACGAAAGCGUGGGUAUCGAACAGGAUUAGAUACCCCUGUAGUC
rnacentral:rRNA from 1 species